rnacentral:rRNA from 1 species
UUUUUUGGAGAGUUUGAUCCUGGCUCAGAGUUAACGCUGGCGGCGUGCCUAACACAUGCAAGUCGAGCGAAGAGUACCAGUGUAUCGGGCUCUUAGCGGCAGACGGGUGAGUAACACGUAAACAAUCUGCCCUCGAAUGGGAGACAACCUAGAGAAAUUUAGGCUAAUACCCCAUACAAUCUUCUCAAAGCAUUUUGAGGGGAUGAAAGGCCCGCAAGGGUCGUUCGAGGAGGAGUUUGCGGCCUAUCAGCUAGUUGGCGGUGUAACAGACCACCAAGGCUAUGACGGGUAGCCGAUCUAAAAGGAUGACCGGCCACAAGGGCACUGAGACACGGGCC